UGCUUCCAGAUUCCCACGGACCAAGUCAUCCAUCCUGUCUAACAGGAGGAACAGCCUUGGCCCUCUAAAACACUUGGAUUUAUUGACUGGCAGCUCCUGAGCAGCCCAAAGUUUAAUUUGGGAGCUGUCAGGGAGCAGGGCUGAGCUCCCCAGCGUUCAUCAGACACAAACUGGCAGCUUGGCACGAGGGACAGUGCCCCUCAGCUCAGUCCCUUCAUCUCCAUAAAAAGGGCAGGAGAGAGGCAAAGGGAGCCAGGAGGGAGCACGGGUGGGA
rnacentral:lncRNA from 12 species